UACAGAGGGGGCAAGCGUUAUUCGGAAUUAUUGGGCGUAAAGGGCGCGUAGGCGGCCAGGCAAGUGGAAGGUGAAAUCCCUCGGCUUAACCGAGGAACUGCCCUCGAAACUGCUUGGCUUGAGACCGGGAGAGGUGAGUGGAAUUCCCAGUGUAGCGGUGAAAUGCGUAGAUAUUGGGAGGAACACCAGUGGCGAAGGCGGCUCACUGGACCGGUACUGACGCUGAUGCGCGAAAGCGUGGGGAGCAAACGGG
rnacentral:rRNA from 1 species